UGUAAAGUCUAGCCUGCCCAGUGACAAUUGAGUUUAACGGCCGCGGUAGCAUGACCGUGCUAAGGUAGCAUAAUCAUUUGUCCUUUAAUUGAGGACUGGUAUAAACGGCUGCACAAGAAAUUGUCUGUCUCUACUAUAAAAUUUGAAAUUCACAUUUAAGUGAAAAGGCUUAAAUGGAAUAGGGGGACGAUAAGACCCUAUAAAUCUUUACAAUUAAGGCUUUAGUUAUUAGAAAGUAGUUAUGGAUCUAAAUCUAAGGUUUAAAUUGUUUUGUUGGGGCGACAGAAGUAUAAUAAGUAACUGCUUUGGGUUUCAUAUUAAUUGUUUUUAUUAUGGUUAGCUUAAAAGAUCCUCCUUUGGAGAUCACAGACUAAGUUACUUUAGGGAUAACAGCGUAAUCUUUCUUGAGAGUUCAUAUCGAAAGAAGGGUUUGCGACCUCGAUGUUGAAUUAAAGAACCUUUAUGGUGUAGCCGCUAUAAGAGGAGGUCUGUUCGACCUUUAAAUCUUUACAUGAUUUGAGUUCAGACCGGCGUGAGCCAGGUCGGUUUCUUAUCUCCUAUUUAUAAAUUGGCUCUUUUAGUACGAAAGGAUCAAGGAGCCGAAAUAUUUUGGGUUGUUUAAUGUUACUUCUGGCAGAAGAUAUGCGUUAGAUUUAGGAUCUGAUAAUAUAGAAUUUUUGGUCGAUAGGUAAUAUGUUGGCAGGUGUAUGGUAUUAAUGUGCAAGCUGGUGAUUUUUAUUGUAUCCAUUUUAAAGUAUCUUAUUCUGAUUAUUUGUGUUUUGGUCAGGGGGCUUUUGUCACGUUGCUGGAGCGGAAAGUG
rnacentral:rRNA from 1 species